CCCUUAGAUGUUCUGGGCCGCACGCGCGCUACACUGAUGCAUUCAACGAGCCUAUCCUUGACCGACAGGUCCGGGUAAUCUUUGAAUCUGCAUCGUGACGGGGAUAGAUUAUUGCAAUUAUUAAUCUUCAACGAGGAAUGCCUAGUAGGCGCAAGUCAUCAGCUUGCGUCGAUUACGUCCCUGCCCUUUGUACACACCGCCCGUCGCUCCUACCGAUUGGGUGUGCUGGUGAAAUGUUCGGAUUGAGACUUUGAUUUCUUCACGGAAAACGCUGUUUUAAAAAGUUGAUUAAACCUUACCAUUUAGAGGAAGGUGAAGUCGUAACA
rnacentral:rRNA from 1 species